rnacentral:rRNA from 1 species
UACGUAGGGUCCGAGCGUUGUCCGGAAUUACUGGGCGUAAAGAGCUCGUAGGCGGCCUGUUACGUCUGCUGUGAAAUCCCGGGGCUUAACCCCGGGCGUGCAGUGGAUACGGGCAGGCUGGAGGCAGGCAGGGGAGAACGGAAUUCCCGGUGUAGCGGUGAAAUGCGCAGAUAUCAGGAGGAACACCGGUGGCGAAGGCGGGUCUCUGGGCAGUAACUGACGCUGAGGAGCGAAAGCGUGGGGAGCGAACAGG